UACGUAGGGGGCAAGCGUUGUCCGGAAUCAUUGGGCGUAAAGAGCGUGUAGGCGGCCCGAUAAGUCCGCCGUGAAAGUCCAGGGCUCAACCCUGGAAUGCCGGUGGAAACUGGCGACCUAGAGUGCGGUAGAGGGUAGUGGAAUUCCCGGUGUAGCAGUGAAAUGCGUAGAGAUCGGGAGGAACAUCUGUGGCGAAGGCGACUGCCUGGACCAGCACUGACACUGAGGCACGAAAGCGUGGGGAGCAAACAGG
rnacentral:rRNA from 1 species